GCGGUCGUGGCGAAACAGGCAGACGCGCAACGUUGAGAGCGUUGUGGGGCAACCCGUGGAAGUUCAAGUCUUCUCGGCCGCACCA
rnacentral:tRNA from 1 species